UUUGCCCCCUCAGUCACCCGUUACCGCCUCUUUUGCCCCCUCAGUCACCAGUUACCUUCUCUUUUGCCCCCUCAGUCACCCGUUACCUCCUCUUUUGCCCCCUCAGUCACCCGUUACCGCCUCUUUUGGCCCUCAGUCACCCAUUACCUCCUCUUUUGCCCCCUCAGUCACCCGAUGCCUCCUCUUUUGGCCCUCAGUCACCCGUUACCUCCUCUUUUGGCCCUCGGUCACCCGUUACCUCCUCUUUUGGCCCUCAGUCACCCGUUACCUCCUCUUUUGGCCCUCAGUCACCCGUUACCUCCUCUUUUGGCCCUCAGUCACCCGUUACCUCCUCUUUUGGCCCUCAGUCACCCGAUGCCUCCUCUUUUGCCCCCUCAGUCACCAGUUACCUUCUCUUUUGCCCCCUCAGUCACCCAUUACCUCCUCUUUUGCCCCCUCAGUCACCCGUUACCUCCUCUUUUGCCCCCUCAGUCACCCGAUGCCUCCUCUUUUGCCCCCUCAGUCACCCGUUACCUCCUCUUUUGGCCCUCAGUCACCCGUUACCUCCUCUUUUGGCCCUCAGUCACCCGUUACCUCCUCUUUUGGCCCUCAGUCACCCGUCACCUCCUCUUUUGGCCCUCAGUCACCCGUUACCUCCUCUUUUGGCCCUCAGUCACGCCUCUCCCCACUAUCCAGUCAUGUGGGUGGCCCGGGUGAAGUUUCUACCUUCUCUGUGUCGUCUUACUCCCGUCCUCUAGUCCUGCCCCUCCUGUCACCCUAUCCCUCGCCCUACAUCUCUCUCGCCCUGCUUCAGUUUCUGAAGUUUGUGCCUUUGCCCUCCAUGCCUGGCCGGGCUGUGGCCGCCCUCCCCCACGCCUAUCACUGCUUCUCUCUCUAUAACAAGGUCAGUGAAGGAUUUCUCUGAAUAUCCUGCACCCUGCCUGGGGAAUCUACUAUGCCCUCCGGAGGUUUCCAACCCAUCGAUGGGGGGCAGCAGGUUGUCCGCUCCGCCGUUACAAAAACUCUGGUCCUGUCCGUCUUUACCGCCAUUCUGGGCUCUUUCCAAUUUGGAUACAACAUUGGUGUCAUCAACGCCCCACAAAAGAGACGGGAGAUGCUGAAGAACCAUCAUGGCGGUCUGGUCUGAAUGGAGAAGAUGAG